GACGUAGGGGGCAAGCGUUGUCCGGAUUUAUUGGGCGUAAAGAGCGUGUAGGCGGCCAUGUAGGUCCGUUGUGAAAACUCGAGGCUCAACCUCGAGACGCCGAUGGAAACCAUGUGGCUAGAGUCCGGAAGAGGAGAGUGGAAUUCCUGGUGUAGCGGUGAAAUGCGCAGAUAUCAGGAGGAACACCGGUGGCGAAGGCGGGUCUCUGGGCCGAUACUGACGCUGAGGAGCGAAAGCGUGGGGAGCGAACAGG
rnacentral:rRNA from 1 species